rnacentral:rRNA from 1 species
GACAGCAAUAUGUAGGCCAGGGUGAAGACCUUGCCUGAAUCGUUGAGGGGAGGUGCAUGGCCGUCGCCAGUUUGUACUGUGAAGCAUCCUGUUAAGUCAGGCAACGAGCGAGACCCGUGCCCACUGUUACCAGCAUAUCCUCCGGGAUGAUGGGUACUCUGUGGGGACCGCUGAUGUUAAAUCAGAGGAAGGUGCGGGCUACGGUAGGUCAGUAUGCCCCGAAUUUCCCGGGCUACACGCGGGCUACAAUGAAUGGGACAAUGGGCCCCUACCCUGAAAAGGUUUGGUAAUCUCACAAACCCAUCCGUAGUUCGGAUUGAGGGCUGUAACUCGCCCUCAUGAAGCUGGAAUCCGUAGUAAUCGCGUUUCAAUAUAGCGCGGUGAAUACGUCCCUGCUCCUUGCACACACCGCCCGUCAAACCACCCGAGUGAGGUAUGGGUAAGGGCACGAACUCUGUGUCGUGUUCGAACCUGUGCUUUGCAAGGGGGGUUAAGUCGUAACAAGGUAACCAAGGGCGAAUUCCAGC